ensembl:lncRNA
GAAAUCGAAACACUCCAUUUCCAUUUCAGAGGAACAACCUCCCACUAUCCAUUUGUAUAAACAUAUGAAUCCAUUUUGAUGAUGGUCCAUUUUUUGAAAAAGCCAAACGUGAUGAACAAAACGGAGCGAUUUCUCCUACACAAAUAAUCUUUUUGGAAAAACGGAACAUUUGCUAUCUAACUGAGAGUCUCCUCAUUGAAAACAUCCGAAGUUCUUCAAAGCUGAACCCCGCCUCUUCAGCUUGAUUGACAGCAUCAUGAUGACAAUUGCCAGGAUACAGACAAGAGGGAUGAAGAUGAGUAUAACUAAUCCAGUGGGGAAUCAGAC